AUCAAUUUCAAUCAAAUGUGACAGAAGGAGAGAGCUGUGAGACAUGAAGUUUAGGAAGAAAACAGAUUGUCGAUAAAUGCAGUAAACAACAGGCUGCUUUCUUUCAGAAGAAGUUAUAUGAAGUUGUCAUGCAUUUGAUGACCUGCAGUAGUGGAAGGCUGAACUGUUGUUUGGUAUUUUGACCUUCAUGGCAGAGUAAGGAGGAGUGAGAGCUCCUUGUACCUCCUCCAAGCCUACAGCCUGGCUCUGCACAUAGGA